rnacentral:lncRNA from 1 species
GCCAUAGCAACAACAAAGGAAGAAAAGAAGAACAAAAACCCUAGAGUGAAAAUUCAAGAGAAAAUUGGUAGAUUUCAAGUAAUCAAGCAAUCAAAGGUAAAAUUUCUUGAUUUUGACUUGUGAUCUACCUUUCCCAUGCAUUCUUUUGCAUUUUCCAUGGUUGCAUCAUAUGAUUUCGUGAUGGGUAUCUUGCUGAUCAAACCCUAGGAGAGAGAAUUUGAUGAUGAUUUAAAUAGAUUUUUAAGAUAUAUGGAUGUUUUUAGUUGUUUAUGGUGUUAAGUGUAAGAAUUAAGCUUGAAAUUCACAUAUUCCUCAUGAGUUCAUCAUAGGCCAAAUCUUCCUUGUAGAGUGUUGAUGGUGGAUUUGAUUUUAUUUCAAGUGAAUUGGUUAGGAAAUGAUGAAUUAUGGUGAGAAAAUCAAGUAAGAAAAAUCAUAGUGUUGAUGCACCCACCAUGGCCGAAAUUCUCAAGAGAAAAUGUGAAGAUGAUUUUACUAAAUUUUAUGCUAUUUGACUUGUGUUUGAUGGUUUGGAGAAUUGGAAGAAAAAUGGAGUUGAUUAGUGUUGAAUUGGACAUAUUGGCCAAUUCAUUGGGUGAUAGAUCAAAUUAGGCCAAUACCGUUUUAUUUAGGUACAUAAUUGAAAUUGUGUAGAAUACCGUGUUUAGACGAUAAUCCGAACAAUUUGCAUUCCAUUUCAUGCAUUAGUAAAGAGCCUGAAAUAGAUUUUAUAAUGGUAUGACACAGUAUAUUGAAUUAUGUGUCGUGUAUUGUAUAUAGGUGGUGAGCUCUCUAACAAGGGUAAAGACGUUGCGUCAGAGGACUGAGAAUAGGAGUAUUUUAAACUCCUGACAUUGUGAGUAACCUUAUUAUCGUCUUAAUUAUCUAAAGUAUGUUUUUAUCCAAUUUUGUAAUUUCAUGAAAAAUGAGUUUAAAUAGUAAAUCUUUAUGUUUUAUAAACAAAAUGAGUUUAAAUGAAAUGAUUUUAUAAAUUGUCUUGAAAUUGAAUGAUGGCUUGGAAAAUAGAGUAAUUGGAGACCACUUAAUUGUGUUGUAAAUUUUUGGUUCUAAUUGAUUGGCUUAUGGCAAUAUUGGCAUGAAUGGUUGAAUUUCUAAAUGUGUUGAAAAUAUAUGAACUAUUGAUUUGCGUUGAGAGGCUGUAAAAUAAGAUAAUUGCCAUGUCAUGCUAUUGCAAAUUUUAUUGUAUGGUGGGUUUAGCUUGCUGCAGUGGGCGGGUUUCUGUGGACCAGCUUAUUAGAGGGGCAUGGUAAAACCCUUCAUAUUUUACCUCGGUUGGAGAGGCGUGUAGGGUAACUCCCGAGGUACAAUUUUAGAGUUCACUUCAUGCCAAACCACCACAUGAGGGUGAACUCAGCCAACGCCAAGGAAUGACUAUGUUUUCAAAUAAAAACAUGAUUUAUGCGUACAUAACUUUUUAAUAGCCUUGGUGGAUUCGGUUUGGGAUAGCCCUCGGCCAAGGUAUCCCUGACAACUGAGUAUGAGAAUAAUUUUGGCACAAGCCAAGUUUUUAAGAAAUUUAUAAGCCAUUUGAUUACUCGAUUUUUACAAAUUGAUUUUAUAUGGUUGAAAUGAGUUGAAAGGUGA